rnacentral:rRNA from 1 species
AUUGAACGCUGGCGGCAGGCCUAACACAUGCAAGUCGAGCGGAUGAAGGGAGCUUGCUCCUGGAUUCAGCGGCGGACGGGUGAGUAAUGCCUAGGAAUCUGCCGGGUAGUGGGGGAUAACGUCCGGAAACGGGCGCUAAUACCGCAUACGUCCUGAGGGAGAAAGUGGGGGAUCUUCGGACUUCACGCUAUCAGAUGAGCCUAGGUAGGAUUAGCUAGUUGGUGGGGUAAAGGCCUACCAAGGCGACGAUCCGUAACUGGUCGGAGAGGAUGAUCAGUCACACUGGAACUGAGACACGGUCCAGACUCCUACGGGAGGCAGCAGUGGGGAAUAUUGGACAAUGGGCGAAAGCCUGAUCCAGCCAUGCCGCGUGUGUGAAGAAGGUCUUCGGAUUGUAAAGCACUUUAAGUUGGGAGGAAGGGCAGUAAGUUAAUACCUUGCUGUUUUGACGUUACCAACAGAAUAAGCACCGGCUAACUUCGUG